rnacentral:tRNA from 1 species
GGGUGUAGCUUAGGUGGUAGAGUACAUGCUUAGCAGGCAUGAGGUCCUGGGUUCAGUUCCCAGUACGUCCU